ensembl:snRNA
GUCUUAUAUGAAAGGAAAGAAGUUUAGCACUCCCCUUGACAAGGAUGGAAGAGGCCCUCAGUCCUAACAAUACACAUAAAGUUAAGGAAUUGCCAGUGACUUCGUGGCAUCUAACCAUUGUUUAAA